UACGGGGGUGGCGAGCGUUACUCGGAUUUAUUGGGUGUAAAGGGCAGGUAGGUGUCUUGCCAAGUUGGAAGUGAAAUCCUGCAGCUUAACUGCAGAACUGCUUCCAAAACUGGCAGGAUUGAGGAUAGAAGAGGAGAGCGGAAUUCCCGGUGUAGCGGUGAAAUGCGUAGAUAUCGGAAGGAAUACCAGUGGCGAAGGCGGCCCCCUGGCCAGAGACUGACGCUCAGAUGCGAAAGCGUGGGGAGCAAACAGG
rnacentral:rRNA from 1 species